rnacentral:lncRNA from 1 species
AUUACACAUAUUUCAUCCAUUUCAGCAAUCAAAUUCUUUACAAACUUCAGAUACAACUUAUCUACAAAGCAUCUACUCAAGUUGCUGCAGCCUACAAGAUUUAUAAUAAUACAUGAGCAGCAACAUAGAAGACGUUUAACAGUAAACUCUAACUACAUUGAGUAUAAGGUGUUCUUGAGAUCCUGCAAAACCAUUAUAAACCAAAGUACAAAUUUAGAAGUGCGAAUAGAGAAUACUGUAAUAAAUAAUAAGGUUUGCAGCUGACAAUGUUCAGAGCCUGAUAAUUAUUAGGUGUGAGUUGCACUGAUCUGAGCCUUCGAAUCCUGCUUAUUUCUGGCGAAUAGCUAAUCAAUAUUUUGGAAUGUCAUUGUGAACUCUUAUGUAUACGUACAAGGCCAUGCAUAGCUAAUCUAUAUUUUGGAAUGAUUAUAAACAACGACAAUGACACCAGGAAAGCUUAUAGGAGUAUGUAGGGCUGAAUAAAACAGGACACCAUAUCCACAUGACAACACCAGCAAGGCUCACAAGGUAUAUUCAACCAUAUGUCUACCAUAAAGAUGAUUAAGUUUACGGCUGUGACACCAGCUAAGCACUCUGCAUGCAGCUCUGACUACACAAAUUUAGAAAUUGUCUUUCAAACUGUAUUUAACACAAAGGGGCCGCAAUUGGACAGAAUAAGUAUUUUGACCCAUUGCUCAUAAGCCAUAUAUUGCCCAUACCUAUGAAGCAGCACUUAGAUCACAACUCUUCUCCACACUCAACUAGGCUCUCCAACCAAUCACUUCUCUGCAAAAAAUAGUGCAUCACAUUCAACUACAUCAAAAAUUGAUAUUCUACAAGCACAUAAAAUCUGAAAUUUCUUUCACACAAUCAAAUGUUUGAAUUGACGUAUUUAUAGCAGAAAUGUCUAUCAGAAAAUUAUCUAACUGACAGCAAAAAGGCAGAAACUCUGCAUGUUCAGUAAUCAAAACAGAAACAAUUUAUUCAUCUAUGCUUUUGUCAUUUCUUAACCAGCUACUCUACCUCACUAUGGCAAAAUUAUGUCAAAUCAGCACAACAUGACAAAUACUUUCUAAUAUCGUGAUAUGCUCUCAAUCCAUGCAGUGAAAGAUGCGGAACACAUGGAAUAGCAUAGUCUGAUUAAGAAAAAGAUAAGGACAACACACGAUUCAUAUUCACUGCACUGUGAUAAUAAAGAUAUCAUAUAUUAGAAGUUAGUUAUAGUGCAUCCAUGAAAACAUGAUAAGUGCAUAGAAAGGGGAUGAUAUCAACCAUUGAAACAAGUGACAAUAUCCAUUCUGUAAAAAAAAGUUACUAAUGACCUAUUCCAAGAAGCAAGGAAAUUUAAUGACAGACAUUCUAAGUCACAUUUCAAUUAAUAGUAUAAUUUCAAUUUUCAAGCUAAGAGCCGCUGCAGGCUGUAGUUGUGAGUUAUAAUGUAAAUUCCUAUGUACACAAUGGUACAAGUAUGAAAUCCAGCGUUAAUUAGGCACUUGCCAUCUGCAAAACAAAAUUUUGCAACCAUAUUGUACAAGAACCUACACAUGCUCAUUAGUUAGGCACUUGGAUUCUAACAUAGCAGAAAAAGCUUUGCCAUUUGAUCUAUACAUGAACAAACAUCUGACUAAACUCGCCUCAUCAAACCCUUCAAGCAAGGGGGCAUGGGCAAAAGCAGAUUAUCAUCCUAGGACAACAGAUCCAGAGCGCGCAGGGAGGGAGAGGAGACUCACACAUACAACAGUGCUAGUAGACACCUUGAUUUGCUCCCAUCAUAACAGAAACUGCGAUUGAGUAGCAAACUGCAGAACCAUAUUCUUUUUUUUUGUGGCUAGGAGUGAUCUGAAAAUUACCAAGCUCAUGUAUUUAGAAUACACAUAACACGACCAUGAUCAAGAUACCUAAUCAGACU